GACGAACGCUGGCGGCGUGCCUAAUACAUGCAAGUAGAACGCUGAAGGAGGAGCUUGCUUCUCUGGAUGAGUUGCGAACGGGUGAGUAACGCGUAGGUAACCUGCCUGGUAGCGGGGGAUAACUAUUGGAAACGAUAGCUAAUACCGCAUAAGAGUAGAUGUCGCAUGACAUUUGCUUAAAAGGUGCAAUUGCAUCACUACCAGAUGGACCUGCGUUGUAUUAGCUAGUUGGUGAGGUAACGGCUCACCAAGGCAACGAUACAUAGCCGACCUGAGAGGGUGAUCGGCCACACUGGGACUGAGACACGGCCCAGACUCCUACGGGAGGCAGCAGUAGGGAAUCUUCGGCAAUGGACGGAAGUCUGACCGAGCAACGCCGCGUGAGUGAAGAAGGUUUGCGGAUCGUAAAGCUCUGUUGUAAGAGAAGAACGAGUGUGAGAGUGGAAAGGUCACACUGUGACGGUAUCUUACCAGAAAGGGACGGCUAACUACG
rnacentral:rRNA from 1 species